CGUCAGCUCGUGUCGUGAGGAUGUUCGGGUUAAGUCCCGCAACGAGCGCAACCCUUUUCCUUAUUUGCCAGCGGUUAAGCCGGGAACUUUAAGGAUACUGCCAGUGACAAACUGGAGGAAGGCGGGGACGACGUCAAGUCAUCAUGGCCCUUACGACCAGGGCUACACACGUGCUACAAUGGUCGGUACAAAGGGUUGCUACCUAGCGAUAGGAUGCUAAUCUCAAAAAGCCGAUCGUAGUCCGGAUUGGAGUCUGCAACUCGACUCCAUGAAGUCGGAAUCGCUAGUAAUCGCGGAUCAGAAUGCCGCGGUGAAUACGUUCCCGGGCCUU
rnacentral:rRNA from 1 species